CGGGGUGCUGCUCCAGUGGGGAAUAUUGCACAAUGGACGAAAGUCUGAUGCAGCAACGCCGCGUGGAGGAUGACACAUUUCGGUGCGUAAACUCCUUUUAUAGGUCAAGAUAAUGACGGUAGCCUAUGAAUAAGCGCCGGCUAACUCCGUGCUAGCAGCCGCGGUAAUACGGAGGGCGCAAGCGUUACUCGGAAUCACUGGGCGUAAAGAGCGUGUAGGCGGGUUAAUAAGUCAGAAGUGAAAUCCAAUGGCUCAACCAUUGAACUGCUUUUGAAACUGUUAACCUAGAGUAUGGGAGAGGUAGAUGGAAUUUCUGGUGUAGGGGUAAAAUCCGUAGAGAUCAGAAGGAAUACCGAUUGCGAAGGCGAUCUACUGGAACAUUACUGACGCUGAGACGCGAAAGCGUGGGGAGCAAACAGGAUUAGAUACCCCUGUAGUC
rnacentral:rRNA from 1 species